UGGAGAUCUCCUGAUUGAUCAUCGAACCUCUGAUGAGAGCUGGGAGGAUCCUAUCGGCUCAGAUCGGAGGAUAAGAGUUGGAAAGAUCUGGAUCCUACUGGAAGAUGAUCGGAUCCGACCGGAGGAUGAAAAAAAAAGAUCGACUGGAUAUGACUGGAGGAUGAGAGCUGGGAGGAUCGAUCGAUCGGAUUUAACCGGAGGAUGAGAGUUAGGAGGAUCCAGAUCUAUCAGAUGAGAGCUGGUAGGAUCCGACUGGAGGAUGAUCG
rnacentral:lncRNA from 1 species